rnacentral:rRNA from 1 species
CGUACCUUUUUGUAUAAUGGGUCAGCGACUUAUAUUCUGUAGCAAGGUUAACCGUAUAGGGGAGCCGCAGGGGAAAACCGAGUUUUAACUGGGCGUUAAGUUGCAGGGUAUAGACCCGAAACCCGGUGAUCUAGCCAUGGGCAGGUUGAAGGUUGGGUAACACUAACUGGAGGACCGAACCGACUAAUGUUGAAAAAUUAGCGGAUGACUUGUGGCUGGGGGUGAAAGGCCAAUCAAACCGGGAGAUAGCUGGUUCUCCCCGAAAGCUAUUUAGGUAGCGCCUCGUGAAUUCAUCUUCGGGGGUAGAGCACUGUUUCGGCUAGGGGGUCAUCCCGACUUACCAACCCGAUGCAAACUACGAAUACCGAAGAAUGUUAUCACGGGAGACACACGGCGGGUGCUAACGUCCGUCGUGAAGAGGGAAACAACCCAGACCGCCAGCUAAGGUCCCAAAGUCACAGUUAAGUGGGAAACGAUGUGGGAAGGCACAGACACCCAGGAUGUUGGCUUAGAAGCAGCCAUCAUUUAAAGAAAGCGUAAUAGCUCACUGGUCGAGUCGGCCUGCGCGGAAGAUGUAACGGGGUUAAACUGUGCACCGAAGUUGCGGCAGCGACACUAUGUGUUGGGGGGUAGGGGAGCAUUCUGUAAGCCUGCGAAGGUGGCCUGUCAGGGUUGCGGGAGGAUCAGAAGUGCGAAUGCCGACAUAAGUAACGAUAAUGC